rnacentral:lncRNA from 1 species
AAGCACUGACACUUUCGUCGCUCAAUCUUUCUGCUAAUUUUAAAGCGACGUUGAAAGUUGUCCAUUCCGAGAUUCUUUCCUUGCUGGCCAAAAAUGUUGAAUUGAAGGCCAAGAGUACUCAAUAUCUUCGCGUUGUAUCUGAAAGAGAGUCUUUGUUUCUGGAGAUCAACAAAGCUGAGGACGAAUUGAAAGAAAUCUCUUCCGAAGUUAUGAUUGAAGACUCUUUGAUGAC